rnacentral:lncRNA from 1 species
AUGUGCUGCUGGGGGCUGGGCAGGGUCACAGUGGAGCAGGGAGAUGCGUCAGCCUGUGCAACAAUGCAAAGCUAUGUGUGGUGUUUACCUCGAUUUCACAAUGGUCCAGAUGGGAGGCUUUUCAUUGGAGGCUUGAAACCCUCAAUAGAGCAGAUUCAAGGGAGAAAAGAGGUAUCUCUGCAGGUUGCCACCAAAGUCACUCCUCCUGCCUGCCUCUUGUAUGACAAACUGAUAGCUCUGUAUGUCUCUUGUAUGACGAACAGCAGCUCUGAAAACUACAACUCCAGAGGUGCUUUCCAAGCUCCAAAUGAGAAAAUUGAUAGCCUGGAGUCUGCAGCCAGCUACAGCAAAGAAGAGAUUCUGUCCAGUAUCCAGACACUUUUGGGCCACUAAAUCAAUUUGUUUCUAUCAGCCUCUUUCCCAUUCUAUGCACAAUUUACAUCAAAUCAAGACAUAAGUGCAUCAUAUUUUUUUGCAUCAAAUCUUUAUUCCCCUUUGGCUUAUGAGGGCAGAAUAUUUUCCUAGAUAAAUGUCUUUAAUCUGGCCAUUGGACAUUUCCUGGCUCUGAGUAUGUGUUUCAAAGAUCUCUUGAUGAAUAACAAAUCACCACAAAGUAUAGUGGCCAAUAACAACACUUUAUUUCUCAUAGUUCUCUGGUCUCCUAAGGUCUUUGCAUGCCAGGCUGACCAUCCACUGGAGUACAACGGAGUGUACUGAGUGCACUGUACAACAGAGUGACCAUCCACUGGAGUGACUCUGUUUGACACUGGGAGGUUAUUCUCUCUCUCCUUGUGGUGUUUCAUUCCAGAGCCACCACACAUGUCCUCUCUCUCCAGCAAGAUGGCUUGGACUUCCUUACAGUGUGGCAGCUGGGUUCCAAGAGCCAUAACAUUGGGCCUCUUAGAUUUCCCAGGGAGUGGCACAGCAGUACUUCUGCUGCAUUCUAUCAUACAACCAAGUCACUGGGCCACUGUACAAUCAAGGGGUAGAGGACUUUCUUCACCUAUUAGUGAGAAGAUCAGCAAACAAUUCAUGGCCCUCCUACAUGACAUCACAGUGUUUCACAGUCCUGUCAUCAAACUAGCUACUCUAAGACAGAGGGAAAAGACAUCUAGCAUCAUGUACUUCUUCAAUAGCCUCUCUUCAGGAAUCCUCAUAUACUUGUGUUCAGGUUACUGGCAGCUUUAAAGACCCUGAGUGAAGUUCAACGACCAGGUCUUUGCGAACCCCAACUCUGAAGCAUCACAGUCAUAGUGAACUCCUCGACAUCUUCCUCAGCCCUGGGCCAGCCCCACCUCCUUCCUUAGGUGA